AUGUCUCUGCUGUCUUGAGGUAAAUGAUGUGGAGUGUGUUUGCAUAUUGUUCAGAUGCUUCAGUGCUCUGAGAGUGUUUAUAGUGCUGUGAGUUUAACACUUCAUCACUGACACACACAACAAUCUUCAUCAACAUGACCUUCAUCAUCAUCUUCAUCUGGACUCUCACAGCGUUUGCUCAAGAGUGUAGAGGACAGAUCAGCGUCACUCAGAGUCCCUCAACAGCAGCUCAACCAGGAGAAACAGUGAAGAUCAGCUGUAAAACCAGCACAGAUGUGUACAGUGAUAGUUCGGGGCAGCGCUUAGCCUGGUACUUACAGAAACCUGGAGAAGCUCCUAAACUCCUGAUUUUUUGGGCUAACCGCCUCCAGUCAGGAACUCCAUCUAGAUUCAGUGGCAGUGGAUCUAACAGUGAUUUCACUCUGACCAUCAGUGGAGUCCAGACUGAAGAUGCUGCACAUUAUUACUGUCAGAGUUUCCACGUCAUCAACAGUCAAUAUGUGUUCACACAGUGAUAAAGAGUGGUACAAAAACCUCGGUCAGUCAGAGUCACAGUGACUGAACUGAUGCUGCAGCUGCUCAAAGGAGGAUCUGAAACUCUGUUGUUUUUGCUCUUUCUCCUCAUAUUCUGACUCUCUGUAGGGAGGGAGAAGAGAAAUGCUGGAAACUGGACUGAUUGAAUCUGCACAGCUUUGAGGAUUUGAUUUGAUUUGAUUCAUUGUGCUCUUAUAGAUCCGUCACAUGAUGGAGAUUGAAAAACCAGCGAUUGAUCUCAGUUACUGUACACUACUGUUAAAACGUUUCAGAUCAACCAUACACAAAUGUAAUAUAUGCACGUACAUGUAAUACAUUUCCAUACACAUAUGUAUAUUUAUAUAUGUUUAAAACAAUUUUGGACAUAUACAGUAUGUCAUGUACAGUACAUGCAUAUCCAUUCUAAAAACCGUCAAUACAUGUAGAUAUUAUAUAAGCAAAUCAAAAAGAUAGACACGUAUUUUAAAAAUAAUUGCAUAUGUUUACAAAACUUUACAUGGUUGCUACAUAACACAUAAAAAUUAUGACAUUGAUAUUAUUAUCAUAUGGACACAGGGGCACAUUAAUGCAUGGGUUAUAAGGGGCUGAAGAUUAGGGGCCUACACUUGGGAGGGGCCCACUGGCUGCUGGGAAAUUAUAUUUUUCGAAUAAUUAUUUGUAUAUAUGGGAGUUUGCAGCAGUGACAACAGCAUUCUGUAAACAAACUUACACACUCA